AGCGAACGCUGGCGGCGUGCUUAACACAUGCAAGUCGAGUGCGUAGUCUCUUGUAGCAAUACAGGGGAUGGGCGCACGGCGCACGGGUGAGUAACACGUGGGUAACCUGCCCUUCGGUGGGGAAUAACCCGCGAAAGCGGGGCGUAAUUCCGCAUAACAUUCCGGGGACACAUGUUCUCGGACUCAAAGGAGUGAUUCGCCGGAGGAGGGGCCCGCGCCCGAUUAGCUUGUUGGUAGGGAACGGCCUACCAAGGCUUUGAUCGGUAGCCGGUCUGAGAGGAUGGCCGGCCACACUGGAACUGAGACACGGUCCAGACUCCUACGGGAGGCAGCAGUGGGGAAUCUUGCGCAAUGGGCGAAAGCCUGACGCAGCGACGCCGCGUGGGGA
rnacentral:rRNA from 1 species